rnacentral:rRNA from 1 species
GUGAGGAAUAUUGCUCAAUGGGCGCAAGCCUGAAGCAGCGACGCCGCGUGGACGAUGAAGGCUUUCGGGUCGUAAAGUCCUUUUUGAGGUGACGAGCAGGGACGGUAGCCUCAGAAUAAGUGUCGGCUAACUACGUGCCAGCAGCCGCGGUAAAACGUAGGACACGAGCGUUAUCCGGAGUUACUGGGCGUAAAGGGCGUUCAGGCGGGUGAUUAAGUUCGCUAUGAAAGCGCCGGGCUAAACCCGGCGAGGCUGGCGGAUACUGGUCAUCUGGAGUCGGCGAGAGGGAGGUAGAAUUCCGCGUGUAGUGGUGAAAUGCGUAGAGAUGCGGAGGAAUACCAGUGGCGAAGGCGGCCUCCUGGCGCACGACUGACGCUGAAGCGCGAAAGCAUGGGGAGCGAACGGGAUUAGAUACCCUGGUAGUCC